CCGGGUCGAAGGGCUUGCUUCCGGAGAGCGGGAAGGCUAAAACGCGGUAGCUAAACUGGAGUCAACGUUGGUUCUGUGUGGAAAAGGCUUUAGCCAUGGACAGGAGUGGCUUUGGAGAUAUAUCAUCCCCUGUAAUCCGGGAGGCAGAGGUGACACGGACUGCACGGAAACAGAGUGCUCAGAAAAGAGUUUUAAUUCAGGCAUCUCAAGAUGAAAAUUUUGGUAAUACUACACCAAGAAACCAGGUUAUCCCUCGAACUCCUAGCUCAUUUCGACAGCCUUGUAAGAUUUUUUGCUUUUAAAGCAUUUAAUAAUGUAAUUAUAAUAGCAACUAACAUUUAUUGUAACAUAAGUAUAGUAUUUGGUUACAAUAUCAAUAAGCAUUAAUAAUAAUGAUUGCAGUUAUUAUUUGUUUGAACUCUUGCCAUGUACAAGGUACUGUACUUUACAUAAACACAUGGUAACUAUGACAUGGGUAUUGUUAGCCCUGUUUUACCAAAACUGAAAGCGAGACUUAGAGAAGUUAACUAAUAUAGGCAAUAAGUAUGUUAAGUAGGCUGGAUGCAG
rnacentral:sRNA from 1 species